rnacentral:piRNA from 1 species
UGGUGAAUGUAUCUGCCCACAGGGAUGA